rnacentral:rRNA from 1 species
ACGCUCGACACCUACGGAGGCAGCAGUGGGGAAUAUUGCACAAUGGGGGAAACCCUGAUGCAGCGACGCCGCGUGAGUGAAGAAGUAUUUCGGUAUGUAAAGCUCUAUCAGCAGGGAAGAAAAUGACGGUACCUGAGUAAGAAGCCCCGGCUAACUACGUGCCCGCAGCCGCGGUAAUCUGAGCGGGCGUGGCAAGGC